AGAGUUUGAUCAUGGCUCAGAUUGAACGCUGGCGGCAUGCCUUACACAUGCAAGUCGAACGGCAGCACGGGGGGCAACCCUGGUGGCGAGUGGCGAACGGGUGAGUAAUACAUCGGAAUGUACCCAGUAGUGGGGGAUAACUAGUCGAAAGAUUAGCUAAUACCGCAUACGCACUAUGGUGGAAAGCGGGGGAUCGCAAGACCUCGCGCUAUUGGAGCAGCCGAUGUCCGAUUAGGUAGUUGGUGGGGUAAAAGCCUACCAAGCCUGCGAUCGGUAACUGGUCUGAGAGGACGACCAGUCACACUGGGACUGAGACACGGCCCAGACUCCUACGGGAGGCAGCAGUGGGGAAUUUUGGACAAUGGGGGAAACCCUGAUCCAGCAAUGCCGCGUGUGUGACGAAGGCCUUCGGGUUGUAAAGCACUUUUGGCGGGAACGAAACGGCGCUUUCUAAUACAGAGUGCUAAUGACGGUACCCGCAGAAUAAGCACCGGCUAACUACGUG
rnacentral:rRNA from 1 species